AUUGAACGCUGGCGGCAGGCCUAACACAUGCAAGUCGAACGAGUGGCGGACGGGUGAGUAAUGUAUGGGAAACUGCCUGAGGGAGGGGGAUAACUACUGGAAAGGGUAGCUAAUACCGCAUACCAUCGGAUGUGCCCAGAUGGGAUUAGCUUGUUGGUGGGGUAACGGCUCACAAAGGCGACGAUCCCUAGCUGGUCUGAGAGGAUGACCAGCCACACUGGAACUGAGACACGGUCCCGACUCCUACGGGAGGCAGCAGUGGGGAAUAUUGGACAAUUGGCGCAAGCCUGAUGCAGCCAUGCCGCGUGUAUGAAGACGGCCUUCGGGUUGUAAAGUACUUUCAGCGGGGAGGCGUUACCCGCAGAAGAAGCACCGGCUAACUCCGUGCCAGCAGCCGCGGUAAUUC
rnacentral:rRNA from 1 species